rfam:Nocardia nova SH22a, complete genome.
GGUCAUGAGUGCCAGCAUCAAGCCCCGGCUCGCUGGUCGGCAACCCUCCUCCGCGGUGGGGUGCUCCGGGUGACGACCUGGCCGUUGCUCGACCGAGCACGGCAAGCGCGGACU